CAGCAGCCACCAACACAAAUCUAGGAUGCAAGGUACAGACAACGCCAUUCACCAUCGCAAGACGUCAAAUAAAGAUGACGCCAGACAAAAAAGAAGAAUGCCAUAGGGCCGUUGCAAAGUUUGUUGUGAAGGAUCUCCAGCCCUUCGCUACGGUCCAAUCCAAGUGGUUUAGGUAAAUAGGCAGUCAAUUUUAAGUCAGUGUGAGCUCUGUUAGCAGUCCUGUUAAUCAGGUGUAAGCUAAUUUUGUAUUGUUUUUUCCAUGAUGAUUGUUAGGGAGAUGACCAGAGCCCUUAACCCAGGUUACACCCCCCUUCCAGAGAAGUGUUGUCAGGCACCCUUCUACCAGCUUGGUAUGAAGUUGAAAAGAAAAAUGUAAUAGCUGAGCUUGCUAAGGUGUCAAAAGUGGCCAUAACCAGCGAUGGGUGGACAAGCAUCACACAGGAUCACUAUGUCACCGUCACACUCCACUAUGUGAAUGAAGGCCAGUUAAAGCAGAAAGUUCUCUCAACCCAGGCAGUAUACGAGUCACAGAGUGGUCCAGUUGUGGCUCAAGAGAUAGGAGAAGUGCUUGUAGAGUUUGGUGUUAGAGCAAAAGUUGUAGCCAUGACAGUUGAUAAUGCAGCUAACAUGGAAGUGGCUGCACGUGAGCUCCAAAUCAGAAAGCUGGGAUGCUUUGCACACACUCUUAACCUCAGACAAAAGGUCUACACCAGCCAAACUGUCUCAAAGUGGUCAGCAAGGAUCCGGGACUGUGUUGUGUGCAUCAAGAGAUCUUCCAUUGUGAAGAACCUGGUUGCAGAGAAGCAGAGACUUCUGGGCAUGACUGUCCUACUGUUGUCCUGGAUGUGAGGACCCGCUGGAACUCGCUGUAUCUCAUGGUUGAAAGAUUUAUUGAGAUGUACCCAGCCAUACAAGCUGCCCUCUUGGACCCACGGGCCCAAAAACUGAUGAAGAGAGAGAGGAUGAUGAUCUGAUGCUGUUCUUGGAAGAGGCCACCACCAUGGACCCUAGGUUCAAGGAGAAAACCAACAAAGAAGAAGUCUUUGACCGGCUGAUGGAGGUAGCAGUAAGAGAAUUGUCAGAGGAUGAGGAGGUGCCAAUGAAUGAAGCUGAGUUCCAGAGGGAUGAAGAAGGGGAUGAUGACGAAGAGGAUCAUUCAAAACCAGCAUCUGCACUGGGAGAACUCUUCGCAGAGGAAGAUAGACAACUGCAAAGGCAGCUCAUUCAGCAGCGAAGUGCACCAACUAUUCAAGAAAGACUGAAAAAAGAACUUGCAGUUUACAGAGGACUUCCCCCUAUCCCCACUGAACAAGACCCUGUCCAAUGGUGGUGUAGUAAGACAGACACACUUCCUUUAUUCUCACAGCUAUCAUUCAUCUACCUGUGCGUCCAGGCCUCUUCUACGCCAUCUGAACGAGUGUUCUCGACCACAGGAGACACAUUCUGUCCAGAGAGGUCUCGGCUGCAGCCUGAGAAAGUAAACAUGCUGCUUUUUCUUAACAAAAACUGUUAGGGCUGCAAGAGAAGUGCCUUCACUGCACUGUUAUGUUCGUGUGUGUUUUUUUCUGUGAUCUUCUGUUCUGAGAACCAUUUAAUUGUAAGAAUAGCUUCUGUUGUGUGUUCUGAUCCUCCUUUUGGGAAUUAAAAAAAACUUGAAUCUU